ensembl:lncRNA
CCAAAGUUGGGACCGACCCCGCGGCCAAUGGAGCGAGCGGUGGGGAUGGACGGUGCGACCGAAAGCAACGAGGGGUCUCUUUAAAAUUCCCAUCCACUUCAGAUGUCUAAAGUAAGAUUGUGAUGAUUUUGUCACGGUUUGGUAAAUUUACCCCUUUAAGAGGCUUUCAUAAAUCCCAGAACACACCUUCAGCCAGAUUUGAAUAUAGAUUUAGGUUUUAAAACCCAGAAGCUGGGAACACCGCUUUAUCAAAGAGAAUUUCCCUUUAGCUUAGCGAUGUGUCGGAAUGGCUCUCGCAAAGAUCGGAUCGGAGAGGGGGAAAAAUAGGGGGAAGCCUUCAUCCCGGAGCGAUCCUACACGCACUUUGCAGCCGCAUUCCGCCUUCAGCCUCAGGAAAAGUUGCCCCCAAACAAGCAAAAAAAAAAAAAGAAAAAAAAAAAAGUGGCAGCCGUAGGAACUGUUUUUUUUUUUUUAAUUACUAUUUUAUUUUUAAUUAUUUUUUAAGGAAGGGAAAAAGAAAAAAAAACCAACAAAAACAACCAAACAAAACAGCCAAUGCGACCAAACCCCUUUCCGACCUCCUGCGCUCCGUUCGGAUAGCAGCUCCGGGCAGGUAUACAGAGCCGCACUAACUCGGGCUCAACGGGGAGCGACUUUUGUGCUCAGAGAACCCCCAGAUCAGCUCCCGGGAUGGAAAGGAACUGUAACUUCUGCUGCUCACAGGGAAUCUCCCUGGUCUCCCACCAGCACCAUCCCCGCAGGCACCUUCCCUGAGAAGCUUUGUCCUGCACUGAGCACCCCCAGCAUCGAAUGUCCCAUCCAGCAGCCCAGGGGUUUCACGCUGAGUUUUUUGGGGUAAGAGGUGGGUUUCCAGCAUGGCCAGGGUGGAGGAGGAGUCCAGCUCUGCCUCAUCGUAUGGGUGAAAAUAGGCUUUUUUAGGUGUAUUUUAUUGAUAUUUAUGUCCCUGCCCGUUGUGACAUCGGGUGUACAAUGUAAGCUCUGUGCUGUUUGCAGUGCCCAAGCAGUCCCCGGCCCUAAUCUCAGGUUUAAUCUGUGCCUGGGGAUGGGAGGGGGGACUGUGCUGGUGCCCAGGGCUGCCUACACCAGACCUUAGUGCCAGGCAGAGGACAAGGCUGUGCCCAGCAGCCCUCACAGAUAGGCAUGGCAGUGUGUAGUUGCCCUUAUGGAUGGGCAGUCGGACAGGGCUGUGCCCAGUGUCCUCUCAUUGAUAGGCAUGGCAGUGUAUGGUACAGACAGGCAAACAGACAGGGCUGUGCUGAAUAUCUCCUUAUGGAUAGGCAUGGCAGCAUAAGGCACGGACAGACAGAUGGACGUGGAGGCGUAUGGCUUCCCCUCCUGGACAGACAGGCGUGGUGAUAGGAUGGGCACUUGUGUCUGUCCAUCUCUCCCAGUCAAACAGGCACAGUGGUGGGAUGGGCAUAGCAGCACCCGUCCGUCUCCCCCAGACAGACAGACGGACAGACAGCUGCCACCUGCCAGCCGAUGCAGACUAGAGGCACACAUGGUCCAGGAGAUCCCGGUGAGAGGAGCCAGAGGCAGCCCAGGUGGGGUUGAGCUAAUCCCCGGGCAGACAGACGGACAGACGGAUGGACGGACAGACAGACGGACAGACAGACGGGGCCAUGCCCUGCUCCGCCUGCCUGGCAAAGGGUUGCCCUGCUAAGUCGCACUCAGAUGAGGUGGAGCGUGGCUAAUCCCCAGGCAGGGCAGGAGGAGAGGGCCAGGAACGUGGGGAUGUGUUCAACUCAUUGUGGGACAGACGGACGGAGCACAGUUUGGGCUGGGGGAGGCAGAGCCCGGCUGGGUCCCAUCAUGGGUGUGGGAAAAAAUGCAUUGCAGUUUCCCUCCCCAUAAUGGAUGGAAAGUGGUGGGGUCCCAACUGGCCGUGGCCUUUAGGAACGGCCCUAACAUCCGCAAUUGGAGAUAAAAAGAAAGUUCCUGCUGGUUCCCUUCCAGACAAAUGAGCCUGGCCGCA